GAUGAACGCUGGCGGCGUGCUUAACACAUGCAAGUCGAACGAUGAAGCCCAGCUUGCUGGGUGGAUUAGUGGCGAACGGGUGAGUAACACGUGAGUAACCUGCCCUUAACUCUGGGAUAAGCCUGGGAAACUGGGUCUAAUACCGGAUAGGAGCGUCCACCGCAUGGUGGGUGUUGGGAAGAUUUAUCGGUUUUGGAUGGACUCGCGGCCUAUCAGCUUGUUUGGGAGGUAAUGGCUCACCAAGGCGACGACUGGUAGCCGGCCUGGGAGGGUGACCGGCCACACUGGGACUGAGAGAGGGCCCAGACUCCAACGGGGGGCAGCGGUGGGGAAUAUUGCACAAUGGUCCAGAGCCUGAUGAAGCGACGCCGCGGGAGGGAUGACGGCCUUCGGGUUGUAAACCUCUUUCAGUAGGGAAGAAGCGAAAGUGACGGUACCUGCAGAAGAAGCACCGGCUAACUACGUG
rnacentral:rRNA from 1 species